GUGAGGAAUAUUGGUCAAUGGGCGAGAGCCUGAACCAGCCAAGUCGCGUGAAGGAAGAAGGAUCUAUGGUUCGUAAACUUCUUUUGCAGGGGAAUAAAGUGCGGGACGUGUCCUGUUUUGUAUGUACCCUGAGAAUAAGGAUCGGCUAACUCCGUGCCAGCAGCCGCGGUAAUACGGAGGAUCCGAGCGUUAUCCGGAUUUAUUGGGUUUAAAGGGUGCGUAGGUGGUUUGAUAAGUCAGCGGUGAAAGUUUGCAGCUUAACUGUAAAAAUGCCGUUGAAACUGUCGGACUUGAGUGUAAAUGAGGUAGGCGGAAUGCGUGGUGUAGCGGUGAAAUGCAUAGAUAUCACGCAGAACUCCGAUUGCGAAGGCAGCUUACUAAGCUACAACUGACACUGAAGCACGAAAGCGUGGGGAUCAAACAGGAUUAGAAACCCUGGUAGUCC
rnacentral:rRNA from 1 species